ACGGGGUGCAGCAGGCGCGAAACCUUUGCAAUGUGCGAAAGCACGACAAGGUUAAUCCGAGUGUCUCCUGCUAAAGGAGUCUUUUGUCAGUUGUAGAAUCACUGAUGAAUAAGGGGUGGGCAAGUUCUGGUGUCAGCCGCCGCGGUAAAACCAGCACCUCGAGUGGUCAGGAGGUUUAUUGGGCCUAAAGCAUCCGUAGCCGGUUGCAUAAGUUUUCGGUUAAAUCUAUGCGCUCAACGUAUAGGCCGCCGAAAAUACUGUGCAGCUAGGGAGUGGGAGAGGUACACGGUACUCAAUAGGAAGGGGUAAAAUCCUUUGAUCUAUUGAUGACCACCUGUGGCGAAGGCGGUGUACCAGAACACGUUCGACGGUGAGGGAUGAAAGCUGGGGGAGCAAACCGGAUUAGAUACCCGGGUAGUCCCAGCUGUAAACGAUGCAGACUCGGUGAUGCAUUGGCUUGUGGCCAAUGCAGUGCCGCAGGGAAGCCGUUAAGUCUGCCGCCUGGGAAGUACGUACGCAAGUAUGAAACUUAAAGGAAUUGGCGGGGGCGCAC
rnacentral:rRNA from 2 species